rnacentral:rRNA from 1 species
CAUAUCAAUAAGCGGAGGAAAAGAUACUAACAAGGAUUCCCCUAGUAACUGCGAGUGAAGCGGGAAAAGCUCAAAUUUAAAAUCUGUCAGCCUUUGGCUGUCCGAGUUGUAAUCUAGAGAAGUGUUAUCCGCGCUGGACCGUGUACAAGUCUCCUGGAAUGGAGCGUCAUAGAGGGUGAGAAUCCCGUCUUUGACACGGACUGCCAGGGCUUUGUGAUGCGCUCUCAAAGAGUCGAGUUGUUUGGGAAUGCAGCUCAAAAUGGGUGGUAAAUUCCAUCUAAAGCUAAAUAUUGGCGAGAGACCGAUAGCGAACAAGUACCGUGAGGGAAAGAUGAAAAGAACUUUGGAAAGAGAGUUAAACAGUACGUGAAAUUGCUGAAAGGGAAACGCUUGAAGUCAGUCGCGUUGUCCAGGGAUCAACCUUGCUUUUGCUUGGUGUACUUUCUGGUUAACGGGUCAGCAUCAAUUUUGACUGUUGGAAAAAGAUCAGGGGAAUGUGGCAUCUUCGGAUGUGUUAUAGCCCUUGGUUGCAUACAAUGGUUGGGAUUGAGGAACUCAGCACGCCGCAAGGCCGGGUUUUAACCACGUACGUGCUUAGGAUGCUGGCAUAAUGGCUUUAAUCGACCCGUCUUGAAACACGGACCAAGGAGUCUAACAUGCCUGCGAGUGUUUGGGUGGAAAACCCGAGCGCGUAAUGAAAGUGAAAGUUGAGAUCCUUGUCAUGGGGAGCAUCGACGCCCGGACCAGACCUUUUGUGACGGUUCCGCGGUAGAGCAUGUAUGUUGGGACCCGAAAGAUGGUGAACUAUGCCUGAAUAGGGUGAAGCCAGAGGAAACUCUGGUGGAGGCUCGUAGCGAUUCUGACGUGCAAAUCGAUCGUCAAAUUUGGGUAUAGGGGGCGAAAG